rnacentral:tmRNA from 1 species
GGGGCCGACCCGGUUUCGACGUGGGUUGCAAAGCAGUGCAGGGCAUACCGAGGGUUCAGGUUUCCUCGUAAAUCCAUCUGAAAAAGUAUAGUCGCAAACGACGAAACUUACGCUCUAGCCGCUUAAUCCCGGCUGGACGCUGCACCGAAGGGUCUCUCGGUCGGGUGGGCAACCACAGCAGCGUCAUAUAGAGAGACUCGUGUUGUAUCGGGUUACUUGAUACAACAUUAAAUCCAAGGUGACUCGCUUCACAUUCGCUUGCUCGUUGGUGGAUGUGCGGUUAAAUCAAACAACACAGCUAAGUAUGUAGAACUGUCUGUGGAGGACUUGCGGACGCGGGUUCGAUUCCCGCCGGCUCCACCA